rnacentral:lncRNA from 1 species
CAAUCCUGGAACUCUGCACAGCUGACAGACAGCUUGACAGUCUGAGAACUCUCCACAUAUAUAUGGCCUUAUGUUCACCUCCUGACUCAUAUGAAACUUUCCUUUUGUCAUGGAGAGAAUAUUUAAAUUCAGAGGAAAAAGUCCUAUAACCAAGGAGGAAGCAGAAAUGUGAUCCAGAAGGGAAACCAGAAGGGGGCCUGGCAGAAAGACAAUGGUGGUUCCUCCCUCAGGACACACUCCUGUUUCCACAGCUUCACAUCCAAUUGCAGUUGGACACUUCAAGCAUCCAUGGAGAUUACAAAGCACGGAAAUGCUGUAAACCACUGAAAGACUGGAGAAGAGGAAAGACAACCCAGGAGAAUUCAUCAUAAGAUAUUCAGUCCGAUAUUUCCUGAGGUACGCAGAGUCACAUCCAGCUUUUCUGGGAACCCAAACUCAAGACCUCAUGAUGAGCAUCAAAGAAGGCCCAUUCAGCCCAAGCUAUAUAGUAGAAUCCUUUUAAAAGACCAACCAAUAAUAAUAAAUAAUGCUUGCCUUCCACUC